GAAAAAAAAACGAAGAAAAAGAUUCGUUUUUCGUUAUAAUGAUGAUAAACGAUAUAUACACACAGACAUCAUCCAGGAUUUUCAACAUUGGCAAAUUCAUUUAUUACAGUGACGAAUUACGAGGAUUAAAAGCAGUUGUGUUGUGUUCAAUAUGGACAAAAUGAUGAUGUGAGACAAUUUCCCAGUAACGAAAAAAAAACGAAA